rnacentral:rRNA from 1 species
UGCGUAGGCGGAUCAAUAAGUCAGUGGUGAAAUCUCUCGGCUCAACCGGGAAACUGCCAUUGAUACUGUUGAUCUUGAGUUCGGUUGAGGUAGGCGGAAUGUGUAAUGUAGCGGUGAAAUGCUUAGAUAUUACACAGAACACCAAUUGCGUAGGCAGCUUACUAGACCGACACUGACGCUGAGGCACGAAAGCGUGGGUAGCGAACAGGAUUAGAUACCCUGGUAGUCC